rnacentral:rRNA from 1 species
AACGCGAAGAACCUUACCUGGGCUCGAAAUGCAGGAGACCGGGGUAGAAAUAUCCUUUCCCCGCAAGGGGCUGCUGUAUAGGUGCUGCAUGGCUGUCGUCAGCUCGUGUCGUGAGAUGUUGGGUUAAGUCCCGCAACGAGCGCAACCCUCAUCCCUAGUUGCCAUCAGGUCAAGCUGGGCACUCUAGUGAAACCGCCCCGGAUAACGGGGAGGAAGGUGGGGAUGACGUCAAGUCCUCAUGGCCUUUAUGUCCAGGGCUACACACGUGCUACAAUGGUCGGUACAAACCGUCGCAAAACUGCAAAGUGGAGCUAAUCGGAAAAAGCCGGCCUCAGUUCGGAUUGGAGUCUGCAACUCGACUCCAUGAAGCUGGAAUCGCUAGUAAUCGCAGAUCAGAACGCUGCGGUGAAUACGUUCCCGGGCCUUGUACACACCGGUAUCUC